GACGAACGCUGGCGGCGUGCUUAACACAUGCCAGUCGAGCGGAAAGGCCCUGCUUUUGUGGGGUGCUCGAGUGGCGAACGGGUGAGUAACACGUGAGUAACCUGCCCUUGACUUUGGGAUAACUUCAGGAAACUGGGGCUAAUACCGGAUAGGAGCUCCUGCUGCAUGGUGGGGGUUGGAAAGUUUCGGCGGUUGGGGAUGGACUCGCGGCUUAUCAGCUUGUUGGUGGGGUAGUGGCUUACCAAGGCUUUGACGGGUAGCCGGCCUGGGAGGGUGACCGGCCACAUUGGGACUGAGAUACGGCCCAGACUCCUACGGGAGGCAGCAGUGGGGAAUAUUGCACAAUGGGCGGAAGCCUGAUGCAGCAACGCCGCGUGCGGGAUGACGGCCUUCGGGUUGUAAACCGCUUUCGCCUGUGACGAAGCGUGAGUGACGGUAAUGGGUAAAGAAGCACCGGCUAACUACGUG
rnacentral:rRNA from 1 species